UUAUGGAUGAAGGAGCUCUCUUCAGUCCAGUCCGAGGCAGUUGAGGGCUGGUACUUGGCUGCUGACUCGUUGGUUCAAAAGCUCAUCAAAGAAUGCGCAGGAAAAUAUGAUGUGUUUCUGAUCCAACGAUGCAGGAGCUGCGUUCAGUUCUAGCUGUCACGUCUUGGACUGAAGGGAGCUCCCUCUUAUUAAUUC
rnacentral:pre_miRNA from 2 species